AAGCGUUCGAAGAGCACACACGGAUGCUCGGCGCGGUCCCUCUGCAGCCUGGCAGGGCCCAGACUGGGGUUUUUUACACAAAAUCUCUCAAAUCUCUUCUUUUCGCCCCAAAGGGGCUGUGGCUGCGCUGCUGGCGCUGUCCCUUGUCCCCAUCCUUGCCGCCCUCCUCGGACUAUUUCUGCCUCGGAACGUUUCUCCUCAGUUGCGGUUCCCGCCCGGCGCGCGGGAGCAGCGGGAAAAUGGCGGCGCCCAUGAGCAGGGGGAGCCGCGGCCCCGAGCCCGGCGCGGCUCCCUACGGGAACUUCCCGAAUUAUUCCCGGUUCCACCCGCCCGAGGGCCGCGUCAGUCUCCUGCCCCAAGGGCUCCUGCGCAGCCUCUUCCCCGCGGCCACCCGCCCGCUGCUCGGGCUCGACGUGGGCUGCAACUCCGGGGAGCUCAGUGUGGCUCUGUACCAGCACCUCGUGGGGCUCCAGCAGAGCGAUUCCAGCGGGAAGGAGCUGAACCUGCUGUGCUGUGACAUCGACCCCGAGCUGAUCCGGAGGGCCCAGCAGAGCAGCCCCUUCCCUGCAUCCAUCUCCUUUGCCAGCCUGGACAUCAUGGACUCCGGGGCCAGGGAAGCCUUCCUGAGCUCCUACCUGGAGCGCUUCGGCCGCUCCUCCUUCGACAUCGGCUUCUGCAUGUCCGUGACCAUGUGGAUCCACCUGAACCACGGGGACAGGGGCCUGCUGGAAUUCCUGGCCCUCCUGGCCUCGCUGUGCACCUUCCUGCUGGUGGAGCCGCAGCCCUGGAAGUGCUACCGGGCGGCCGCGCGCCGGCUCCGGAGGCUGGGCCGGGCCGACUUCGAGCACUUCCGAUCCCUGCGGAUCAACGGGGACAUGGCCGAGAGCGUCACCCGCAUCCUGACGCAGGAAUGCGCCAUGGAGCUCGUCUGCUCCUUCGGCAGCACCAGCUGGGACAGGAGCCUGCUGCUCUUCAGAUCCACCAGCGCCCACGCCGAGGGCUCCGACCGAGCAGGGGCCUCACACAUCCCUGGAUUGCUGGGCAAGGAGGCGGAGCUGGGAAUUCCUGAAUCCCCGCUGGGACCAGAGCUUGACUUCCCUUGGGAAUCUGAGGCAAGGAGUGUCUGUGACUGAUUUUUGGGGACAGUUUUAACCAAUUUUGUGGGGUCUGAGGUGGUUCAAGGAAGUGCUCGUGCAAUCCAAGUUCCUACAUGUGCUUUCCAUGUGUAUCAAGAAUAUUCCCUGGAAUAACAGGGAACAUGCCCAAGGGAAUGUAGAAUGUCCUGACUGGAACGGCCUCACAAGGAUCCUCGUGUCCAGCUCCCGGCCCUGCACAAGACAUCCCAAAAAAAUCCCACUAAUCCCAAAAUCCUGAUGCCCACGUUGUCCAAACAUUCCCAGACCUCCAGAAUCAUGGAAUAUCCAGAGCUGAAAGGGACCUGUGGGGAUCACAGAGUUAUGGAACAUCUGGAGUUGGAAGGACCCACCUGGAUCAUCGAGUCCAACUCCUGGCCCUGCACAGGACACCCCAAAAUCCCACCCUGUGCCUGAGUGUUAUCCAAGCACGCCCUGGUCUCCAGAAUUAUGGAAUAAUCACAGUUGGAAGGGACCCCCAGCAUCAUCAACUCCAACUCCUGGCCCAGGACAGCCCAAAAAUCCCACUGAUCUCAAAAUCCCAGCACCCCCAGCUUUGGCCUCUCGGGGCUGUGACCAUUCCCUGGGAAGCUGUUCCAGUGCCCGACCACCCUCUGGAUGAGGAACCUCUCCCAAAAUCCACCCAAAACAUCCCCCAGGACGUGGGUGAGGCACCUGCAGGACAAUCCCCCCCCUGGACCCAGCCCCUGGCUCAACUCUCCGAGGACAGGGGUUCAUCCCUAACGCUCCGUGCUCCUGCUGUCCAGGAAGGUGCUGGGACAGGAGAGGUGGGAACAGCUCUGGGAUACAGCGAUGGGAGAGCCUGGAAGAGACCCCAUGGAUCCCACUGCAGUGUCCGGUGCAUCUCUUCCCCACCUGAGGCGGAGGAAUCCUGGCUCACCUGCUCUCCUCCCCUUCCAUGAGCUUCCUAUAGGUGAGGAUCUCCACGUCCAGGGCCAGUUUGAUGUUCAUGAGCUCCUGGUACUCCCGGACCAGGUGAGCCACGUGCUCCCGGCUGCGCUGCAGGGCCUCCUCCAGCCCGGCCACCUUGGCCUUGGCGUCCCUGAGGGUCCCCUCCCCCUGCUCGCCGGCCU